rnacentral:rRNA from 1 species
GACGAACGCUGGCGGCGUGCCUAAUACAUGCAAGUAGAACGCACAGUUUAUACCGUAGCUUGCUACACCAUAGACUGUGAGUUGCGAACGGGUGAGUAACGCGUAGGUAACCUGCCUGGUAUCGGGGGAUAACUAUUGGAAACGAUAGCUAAUACCGCAUAAUAUUAAUUAUUGCAUGAUAAUUAAUUGAAAGGUGCAAUUGCACCACUACCAGAUGGACCUGCGUUGUAUUAGCUAGUAGGUGAGGUAACGGCUCACCUAGGCGACGAUACAUAGCCGAACUGAGAGGGUGAUCGGCCAAACUGGGACUGCGACCCGGCCCAGAAGCCUACGGGAGGGCGCAGUAGGGAAUCUUCGGCAAUGGAGGGAAGUCUGACCGAGCAACGCCGCGUGAGUGAAGAAGGUUUUCGGAUCGUAAAGCUCUGUUGUAAGGGAAGAACGGGUGUGAGAGUGGAAAGUUCACACUGUGACGGUAUCUUACCAGAAAGGGACGGCUAACUACGUG